rnacentral:rRNA from 1 species
UGCCAGCCGCCGCGGUAAUACGUAGGUGGCGAGCGUUGUCCGGAUUUACUGGGCGUAAAGAGCGCGCAGGCGGCCAUGUAAGUCGAAUGUGAAAGCCCCCGGCUCAACUGGGGAAGGUCAUUCGAUACUGCUUGGCUUGAAGAUAGGAGAGGGAAGCGGAAUUUCCGGUGUAGUGGUGAAAUGCGUAGAUAUCGGAAGGAACACCAGUGGCGAAGGCGGCUUUCUGGCCUAUUCUUGACGCUGAGGCGCGAAAGCUAGGGGAGCGAACGGGAUUAGAUA